AAAACAAAAAAAAUUCACAUCUUUGAAAUAAAAAUCAAGGAGGUGAAUAAUUAAAACCUUAUAAGAGCAUUCCUUGAAUACAGAGCUCAUAUUAGAAGCAUAUCAAACUUUAAACCCCCAAUAUAACCCUAAAUCUUCUUUAGGCAUGGAGGAUGGAACAACUUUGUGCAAAUGCUCUAGACAAAUGGAAAGAGGGUGUCUCAAAUUUCAAGAAGGUGUAAAAUAUGAAUACAAACAGUAUUGGCAUUCAGGAAACAUGAUAAACCUUUUCCCCAAAUAAAUUAAACAUGAAAGGAUGUACAAGUAAUACAUUACAAAUAACAAAUAGAUGAUAUUCACAUGUUGCAACAUUUGGGUUUUUUUGUCAAUAGAAGAAAACAUUUGAUAAAAAAAACCGGUGCCCUUGAGCGGUACAAACAGAUUUGAUGUAAGAGAAAGAACAUACAAGAAAAAAUUUCUUCUCUUAAUAUUAGCACAACCGCAUACAGUUUCCCAGCCUAAACACUCUUCAAAUCUAAGAUCUCUCCCUCCCAGCCCAUCUUUUCCAUGUUUGAUGAUUGAUGAUUGUGGGAAAAAUGAAAUGAUGUUUCCUUAGAUCCCCAAAAAUCCAAUUAGCAUGGCCCUCUUCAGAUCGAACUGCUUCUUAUAAUGUUUCCAUCUAAGCGGACUUCAUGAAGGCAGGAGGGAUUGCUUCUAUUCCUUGUUCUAUUUGUGUGUGCGUGUGUAAGUGGGAACGAGGCAAUAAUAUACAAUGGAUAAUAUUAGGGGGUGAUUUAGGUUUUGGUCACCACUUUUUAGUAUAAAUUAGGUUUUGGAGCCGGUUUUUUUCUUUAUUAGGGUUUAGAGCUCAUUUUCGAACCAACAACUAAAAAAACCCGGUUGAACCGAAAAUAUUUUCAAAAUACCUAAGUUUACCCCUGAAACUCACGUGAUCUGCACGUGAUCACUAACCCUAAUAUAGUUUUGAUCAGGGGUAUUUUGGCCAUUAUAAACAAUUACUUGGGUCAAUUGUCGGUUCAGCUCUAAACCCUAAUAAAGAAAAAAACUGGCUCCAAAACCUAAUUUAUACUAAAAAGUGGUGACCAAAACCUAAAUCACCCUAAUAUUAGGUUGUUCUAUGCUAUAUGUGGUUUGCAGUCAUGCAAUCUUCUUCUUUAGUCCUUGUAUAUGAUCGAAAGAGUUAAAAUAAGAAAAACAAGAGAUUCAAUACAAUGAAUGGAAAAUAUGCUAGAAAUCUAGAAUACAAGUUUGAGAUUGAUAAAGGCUGGAAAAAUAGUAUACGGCUAUCCUAGCAUAUGGCUACAACUAAGAACAGAGUCUAGCAACUACACGACAUCACAACACAAUAUCAGCUCAUAAAGCAAGCUAUCCUAGCAUUCUUGAUUCCAUCUGAAUUACAAGCUUCAGUUGAGAGGGAUGUGAUAUUAUCAUGCAUCAGGUCCUUCCCCAAAGGGACGUCUUGUGGGCGAGAUGGUCUCCGGGCCCAACACCUAUUGGAUGCUAUGAGUGGGGCUGCAUCCGCUGUAGCCACAGAUCUUAUGAAGGCCUUGACACCGGUUGUGAACUUAUGGCUACAAGGUCGAUGCCCACGGGUCUUGGCAGAGUUCAUAGCUAGUGCACCGCUCACCCCACUUCUUAAGCCAGGUAACGGCAUUCGCCCAAUAGCUGUGGGUAUGGUUUGGCGUCGCCUGGUGUCUAAGAUUGCCAUGAGAGGAGUUUCUAAAGAUAUUGUCCCAUACCUAGAGGAUUUUCAGUUUGGGGUUGGUGUGCCUGGUGGAGCAGAGGCAAUUUUGCAUGCUGUUAAUCGGUUGGUUUAUGCCAAUAAGGAUGACACAUCGCUUUCUAUGCUGCUUGUGGACUUUCAGAAUGCCUUCAACCUUGUUGAUCGGUCUGCUAUGCUACGGGAGGUACGCAAUCAUUGUCCAUCUAUUGCUCUAUGGGUCGAAUACCUCUAUUGUCAACCUGCUCGAUUGUAUCUAGGGUCUACUCAUAUUUGGUCAGCAGCUGGGAUACAGCAGGGGGACCCUUUGGGGCCUCUUCUUUUUGCUUUGGUCUUGCAUCCAUUGAUACACCACAUUCAGUCAGAAUGCCACUUGGAGUUGCAGGCAUGGUACUUAGAUGAUGGUACUCUGAUUGGUAGUACAGAAUAUGUGGCUAGAGCUAUUCGUAUCAUUCAGGAAAGAGGGCCAUCUCUUGGGCUCGUGCUUAAUGUGUCUAAGACAGAGUUGUUUUGGCCUUCUGUUGAUCCUGACUGCUCCUAUCCAGAUAUAUUUCCGGUUGGUAUAUCAUGUCCUCAGCGAGGGGUUAAGUUGCUUGGAGGGGCUGUCAGUAUUGAUGCAUCAUUUAUUGUGGGUAAUGUUCGUCAACGAGUGGAUAAGACACUUCAACUUAUGGACUUAUUACCACAUCUAAAGGAUCCGCAGUGUGAGUUGGCACUUUUACGUUCUUGUAUGGGAUUAUCUAAACUCAAAUUUGCUCUCCGUACUUGCCCCCCUGACUAUGUUCAGGAAACAGCCGAAUGGUUUGACCACAAGCUUCGUGCAGCCCUUCAAAAUAUUGUGGUUUCUGAUGGACCUGGUUUUGGCGAUCUACAGUGGCGUAUGGCAACCCUCCCAUUACGUAUGGGUGGACUUGGUAUCUAUUGUGCUAUUGAUGUUAUGAAGUUUGCUUUCGUAGCUUCACGUACGCAAACCAAGGAUCUCCAGGACCACAUUCUUCGAGGUUGUGACACUCCAUCUAUGGGUAAUGUUUUCGAUACUGCCAUUGCUAGUUUACAUCUUUCUAUACCUGAUUUUGAUCUCAGUAAUCUUGUUCCAACUGCUACCGUCCCCUUCAGACCCCAACAUGUCUUGGCGGAAGCAUACUACAACAAGAUUAGUUCUGGUCUUGAGAGGGAAUUUGAGUUGUCAGCUAGACAAAAAGCCGUGAUUGGAUGUGUGCAGUCAGAACAUGCCAAAGAUUUUCUCCUUGCUAUCCCAAUGGAAGGGCUUGGACAACGCAUGACGCCUGUAGAAUAUCGUGUCAUUCUUCGUUAUCGAUUGAUGAUCCCUCUAUAUUCAGAUGGUGAGCUUUGUCCAGUGUGCAAGAAGAGUAGACUUGAUGCUUUCGGGGACCAUGCGGCCCAUUGUAAGCAUUACCCCGGCUUCAAGUACAGGCAUGACCACGUUAGAGAUAUCUUGUGUGAUGUGUUCUGGCGGGCUGGCGUACAGGUUAAGAAGGAGGCUCCUGUUAACUUUCUUACUGAUCCUAAGGAAGGAAGAUCGACAUUACGUCCUGCUGAUAUUCUGGUCUACAACUGGUCUGAAGGUAAACAUACGUCUGUUGAUGUUACAGGGGCGUCUCCGAUGGUUGGGCUGAGUGCUGGGAUUUUUGAGGUGGGGCUAGCAGCUAGCGAUGCAGCAGCGGCAAAAGUGGAGAAACAUGACGGAGCUUGUAGGGCUAACCAACAUAGUUUCAUCCCCUUUGCAUUUGACACAUUUGGAUUGCUAGGCUCAGAAGCAGUUGAGCUCCUCAGGAGAGUGCAAAAGACAAUGAAUAGCAACGUGAUGACUGCAGGUUCGAACGAAUAUGUAUUUAGGAGAAUCGGGUUUGCUAUCCAGAAAGGACUUGCCGCGCAGUUUGUAGCGCGUUUGUCCUCUACUUUUGUGUAAUUCGUUGAGCUUAUCAAUAAAAUUUAUUAAUUUAUUUUUUUUUUAAAAAAAAAAAAAAAAAAAAUUCUUUUCAACUACCAUGAACUGAAAGUAACCCAGAUUCUGAAAUAUAUCUUAAUACUCCAAUUUUUUCCAUUUUAAUCUAUAGAAAAAAAAAAGCUACAACUAAGAACAUAGUUUAGCAACUACACGACAUCACAACACAAUUAAAUCAGCUCAAGCUUCCCCAAAAAUAGUCACCUAUUUCUGGAUCAGCGUUGUUUCCCAUGGCUAC
rnacentral:lncRNA from 1 species